rnacentral:lncRNA from 1 species
AACAUAUCUACAAGAUUUACUUACAAAAUAAAAGGGGUACCGAUAUUAAAACAAUAGUGUGCAAAAUAAAUGAAAAAAAAAGAUGGGCCCAAUUUCUCACAAUCUAAAUGGCCCAAAAUCCAAAUGGAUAAAACUAAACCUAAUCAAUUAAAAACAAAGAAACAUUUAAUUUAAUAAAAAACAAUAAAAAUGAACCCCCUGGGAA